rnacentral:rRNA from 1 species
UGCAGUCGAACGAUGAUGCCCACUUGUGGGUGGAUUAGUGGCGAACGGGUGAGUAACACGUGAGUAACCUGCCCUUGACUCUGGGAUAAGCCUGGGAAACUGGGUCUAAUACCGGAUAUGACUGAUCAUCGCAUGGUGGUUGGUGGAAAGCUUUUGCGGUUUUGGAUGGACUCGCGGCCUAUCAGCUUGUUGGUGGGGUAAUGGCCUACCAAGGCGACGACGGGUAGCCGGCCUGAGAGGGUGACCGGCCACACUGGGACUGAGACACGGCCCAGACUCCUACGGGAGGCAGCAGUGGGGAAUAUUGCACAAUGGGCGGAAGCCUGAUGCAGCGACGCCGCGUGAGGGAUGACGGCCUUCGGGUUGUAAACCUCUUUCAGUAGGGAAGAAGCGUAAGUGACGGUACCUGCAGAAGAAGCGCCGGCUAACUACGUGCCAGCAGCCGCGGUAAUACGUAGGGCGCAAGCGUUAUCCGGAAUUAUUGGGCGUAAAGAGCUCGUAGGCGGUUUGUCGCGUCUGCCGUGAAAGUCCGGGCUCAACUCCGGAUCUGCGGUGGGUACGGGCAGACUAGAGUGAUGUAGGGGAGACUGGAAUUCCUGGUGUAGCGGUGAAAUGCGCAGAUAUCAGAGGAACACCGAUGGCGAAAGGCAGGUCUCUGGGCAUUAACUGACGCUGAGGAGCGAAAGCAUGGGGAGCGAACAGGAUUAGAUACCCUGGUAGUCCAUGCCGUAAACGUGGGC